rnacentral:rRNA from 1 species
GACAGAGGUGCCAAGCGUUAGGCGGAAUCACUGGGCUUAAAGCGUGUGUAGGCGGAAUGGUAAGUACCUUGUGAAAUCCCAUAGCUCAACUAUGGAACUGCUUGGUAUACUGCUUUUCUUGAGCCACUUAGGGGCUACCGGAACAAAUGGUGGAGCGGUGAAAUGCGUAGAUAUCAUUUGGAACGCCAAUGGUGAAAACAGGUAGCUGGGAGUGUGCUGACGUGAGACACGAAAGCCAGGGGAGCGAACGGGG